AUUGAACGCUGGCGGCAUGCCUUACACAUGCAAGUCGAACGGCAGCACGGGAGCAAGUCCUGGUGGCGAGUGGCGAACGGGUGAGUAAUAUAUCGGAACGUGCCCAGUCGUGGGGAUAACGUAGCGAAAGCUACGCUAAUACCGCAUACGAUCUAUGGAUGAAAGCGGGGGAUCGCAAGACCUCGCGCGAUUGGAGCGGCCGAUAUCAGAUUAGGUAGUUGGUGAGGUAAAGGCUCACCAAGCCGACGAUCUGUAGCUGGUCUGAGAGGACGACCAGCCACACUGGGACUGAGACACGGCCCAGACUCCUACGGGAGGCAGCAGUGGGGAAUAUUGGACAAUGGGCGCAAGCCUGAUCCAGCCAUGCCGCGUGAGUGAUGAAGGCCUUAGGGUUGUAAAGCUCUUUUGUCCGGGUAAGAUAAUGACUGUACCGGAA
rnacentral:rRNA from 1 species